GACGUAGGGCGCGAGCGUUGUCCGGAUUUAUUGGGCGUAAAGCGCGCGCAGGCGGUGAGGUAAGUCCGUCGUGAAAUCUCCCGGCUCAACUGGGAGGGUGCGGGGGAGACUGCCUGACUGGAGGCACUCAGAGGCCGGUGGAAUUCCCGGUGGAGUGGUGAAAUGCGUAGAGAUCGGGAGGAACACCAGUGGCGAAGGCGGCCGGCUGGGGGUGACCUGACGCUGAGGCGCGAAAGCGUGGGGAGCGAACCGG
rnacentral:rRNA from 1 species